rnacentral:rRNA from 1 species
UACUGGAUAUGACCUUCUGGCGCAUGCCAUGUUGGUGGAAAGCUUUAUUGCGGUUUUGGAUGGACUCGCGGCCUAUCAGCUUGUUGGUGGGGUAAUGGCCUACCAAGGCGACGACGGGUAGCCGGCCUGAGAGGGUGGACGGCCACACUGGGACUGAGACACGGCCCAGACUCCUACGGGAGGCAGCAGUGGGGAAUAUUGCACAAUGGGCGCAAGCCUGAUGCAGCGACGCCGCGUGGGGGAUGAAGGCCUUCGGGUUGUAAACCUCUUUCAGUAGGGAAGAAGCGAAAGUGACGGUACCUGCAGAAGAAGCGCCGGCUAACUACGUGCCAGCAGCCGCGGUAAUACGUAGGGCGCAAGCGUUAUCCGGAAUUAUUGGGCGUAAAGAGCUCGUAGGCGGUUUGUCGCGUCUGCCGUGAAAGUCCGGGGCUUAACUCCGGAUCUGCGGUGGGUACGGGCAGACUAGAGUGAUGUAGGGGAGACUGGAAUUCCUGGUGUAGCGGUGAAAUGCGCAGAUAUCAGGAGGAACACCGAUGGCGAAGGCAGGUCUCUGGGCAUUAACUGACGCUGAGGAGCGAAAGCAUGGGGAGCGAACAGGAUUAGAUACCCUGGUAGUCCAUGCCGUAAACGUUGGGCACUAGGUGUGGGGGACAUUCCACGUUUUCC